rnacentral:rRNA from 1 species
AUACGGAGGAUCCGAGCGUUAUCCGGAUUUAUUGGGUUUAAAGGGCGCGCAGGCGGCCAUUUAAGUCAGCGGUUAAAUCGUGGGGCUCAACCCCAUUCUGCCGUUGAUACUGGGUGGAUUGAUUGCGGUCGAGGCUGGCGGAAUUCGGUGUGGAGCGGUGAAAUGCAUAGAUAUGACGAAGAACACCGAUUGCGUAGGCAGCUGACCAGACCGCAAAUGACGCUCAUGCUCGAAAGUGCGGGGAUCGAACAGGAUUAGAUACCCUGGUAGUCCGCACAGUAAACGAUGAAUACUUGUUUUCGGCGAUAUAAUGUCGGAGGCAAAGCGAAAGCGAUAAGUAUUCCACCUGGGGAGUACGCCGGCAACGGUGAAACUCAAAUGAAUUGGCGGGG